ACUUUUCUAUACAAAGUGUGGUCUCUCGGGUGACGCCGAGGAACAUUUACGCACUAUGCUAUUAUAUAUAUAUAUAUAUAUAUAUAUAUAUAUAUAUAUAUAGCACCCUGGUUGAUCCUGCCAAUAGUAUAUGCUUGUCUCAAAGAUUAAGCCAUGCAUGUCUCAGGGGUAAACCUGAGAAACCCUGGUGGUGUGCGCAGAAGGGUUUGGGCGUAAGCCUGCCUGGAGCCGCAAUCGGUGCAGAUCUUGGUGGUAGUAGCAAAUACUCCAGCGAGGCACUGGAGGACUGACGUGGAGAAGGGUUUCGUGUGAACAGCCGUUGCACACGAGUCAGUCGAUCCUAAGCCCCAGGAGAAAUCCUAUGUUAAUGUUGGUGUAUUUUAUUUUGAAUAAAAUUUCACACCCAUCGGGCGAAAGGGAAUCCGCUUCCUAUCCCGGAACCCGGCAGCGGAACCGUUUACAAGUCGGGCCCUCGCAAGAGAGUUCGUCGGGGUAACCCAAAAUGACCUGGAGACGCCGUCGGGAAAUACGGGAAGAGUUUUCUUUUCUGUAUGAGCGUUUGAGUUCCCUGGAAUCCUCUAGAAGGGAGAUAGGGUUUGGAACGCGAAGUGCACCGCUGUUGCGGCGGUGUACGUAUCUUCCCCUCCGACCUUGAAAAUCCAGGAGAGGGCCACGGUAGGUGUCGCGCCGGUUCGUACCCACAUCCGCAGCAGGUCUCCAAGGUGAAGAGCCUCUAGUCGAUAGAUAAAUGUAGGUAAGGUAAGUCGGCAAAUUGGAUCCGUAACUUCGUAUAAGGAUUGGCUCUGAGGAUCGGGGCGUGCCGGGCUUGGUUGGGAAGCGGGCGUAGGCCGAUGUGCCGGGCCUGGGCGAGGUGAAAUUGUCCUUGUGACUUAGAUCCGAGAUCGGUCCCGUGUCUAGGCCCACCGCGGAUCUUUCUUGCUGCGAGGUUUCUGUGCCGGCUUCGGUCGGUCAGUCGUACUUUUCGGCCGCCAUUCAACGGUCAGCUCAGAACUGGCACGGACUAGGGAAAUCCGACUGUCUAAUUAAAACAAAGCAUUGCGAUGGCCCUAGCGGGUGUUGACGCAAUGUGAUUUCUGCCCAGUGCUCUGAAUGUCAACGUGAAGAAAUUCAAGCAAGCGCGGGUAAACGGCGGGAGUAACUAUGACUCUCUUAAGGGGUAGAACAGAGGAGAUUGUAAUGCUCCAGAGACGUUAGACCACGUCCUACAAACUUGUCAUCGGAACCAUCGACAACAAAUAGAAAGACACAAUGCGGUGUGUAACUACGUCAAAAGAGCGUUGGAGAAAUCACACUCUCGAGUGGAUUGGGAGCCAACCUUCAAAACACCUGAAGGCGCUCGAAAACCGGAUUUGAUCGCGUCACAGGGUCAGAAGGCAGUUGUACUGGAUGCCCAAAUAGUAGGAAGCUCUACUAAUAUGGCCGGAGCCCACAGGCGGAAGAUCGAACAUUAUAAGAAUCUCGAAGACGUAGUGAAACUGAAAUACAAUGUGUCAACAGUGGUGUACAACACAAUUAUCCUAAACAUCAGGGGUGUAUGGCACGAAGAAUCGGCAAAUUUUCUAGUGUCGGAGAAGAUACUUAAUAAAAAUGAAA
rnacentral:rRNA from 1 species